UACGAAGGGGGCUAGCGUUGUUCGGAUUUACUGGGCGUAAAGCGCACGUAGGCGGUUUGUUAAGUCAGGGGUGAAAUCCUGGAGCUCAACUCCAGAACUGCCUUCGAUACUGGCGAUCUUGAGUCCGGAAGAGGUGAGUGGAACUCCUAGUGUAGAGGUGGAAUUCGUAGAUAUUAGGAAGAACACCAGUGGCGAAGGCGGCUCAGCUGGUCCGGUACUGACGCUGAGGUGCGAAAGCGUGGGGAGCAAACAGG
rnacentral:rRNA from 1 species